ACUUUAGCAUUCCAAAAAUUGUGCAAUCGUUUGUUUCCAUACAAAAUGGAUACAAUAUAAGCCAAAACGCAUUCAAAAUUGGGUCAUACGAAUAUUGGACUAUAAACAUGAUUCUGAAAGUGUUCACUCUUGCAGCGUUUUUAUUACUAGAGGUAUCUCUAGUUAGAGGUCAGUGGUAUGGAGGCUACGACUGUGGGCAGUACAGUCAGCAAUACAUCAUCGUGAAUCCAUACGGAUCAUACGACGACAUUUACUCACAAUACAGUUCCUACCCGUACAAUGAUCAUCAAUUUUACAGCGGCUACACCCAAACCCCGCAGUAUCCUCAGCAACCCAUCGUUGUAGUCGUCAAUAAUGACCGCUCAGAUUGUGACGUGGAUGAUAUUCUGUCUCUCAUAUUCCCUAUGGAGGAGAAAAGGAAGGACCCUGUGUAUGUACCGGUGCCCAUAGUAAUGGAGACUAGCAAUGGGUGUGAAUGUAAAUGUGAGUGCAGGUGUGAGUGUUCGAGGUCCGACUACUGUCCUCGUUGCGACUCUCCCAAGAAUAGAUGUAAAUGCAAAGAAGAUUGCCAAUGCAAGAAGAAAGA